CACCCGAACGCAGCUAGAACGGCGGUGGAAACUCUGUGUGCGUAAAAAUGUGGCUGAAGGAUACGUUAUCUCACGGUAACUUUUUCCUGACAGUUUUUGAUACACUGCUCGCUUUCGCGUCAACGCGCCGUACAUCAACGCGCCUCGCGCGACCGUGCGUCGGCAGGGAGCCUGCGUUCCUGUGUGUCGAUGCGAGAGAGCGGUUGUACCGGGUGUUCAGCAAAAAACGAGUACGCGUCGUUUCAGUUUCGUUUCCAGAGCAGAGAGGCGUCGAUGAAAGUCCAGAGCGCGUCGUAUCUAAGGACCGGGGGGCUCUCGGCGCCAUACACGAAAAAGAGGCGCUCUCUCGCAGUUCCACGAUACAAGCUGCUCCAAACAGCGGAGGUUGUCCAAGUCACAGAGGCGACUCCUGCCUGAGUUGUUGAAGAGAGGCACACUAUAUAUACAUGAUGGAAAAAAUCAGCGUUUUCAGUGUAAGGCGGUUAAACCACUUCUUAGGAUCGACAGCGUUGAACGGAAGAACGAAUGCAGACCUCAAGACACACAGAGUUGAGCAGCCAAACGUACUUCCGGGCAAUCCACUAGUGUGAGGGAAAAUGGAAAUGCGGUGGCCGAACUCGGGGUUCGGUUAUACUUUGGCAGCGUGACGGGUAUCACUCGGCAGAGAGGCGGCACCGCAUUUUGUCAGCAUAUUCACACAGGUAUUCGACUCGAGACCCGGAUUAACUCGUUUGACGAGUGAAUUGUGGACACAGAGAUCUGCGAAGUCACAGGAAGAACCACAGGGUCCACCAGUUUACGCACCGAAGAGGAUCGGUGCUGACUGAUGGGUUGUGAGUGAAACCAUUACAAAGUUGUGGCGUGGUGUCCAGAAUCGUGAACCCGCUGCUGCACACGAGCGAAAACAGUUUAGGGGACGUACGACGAAUGCGUACCAUCGUCGUAGGCCCUCAACAAUAACAUCACGCGAUAUUAACACUACACCUUCUCUUCCCCUGGCAUCAAUCCCCGAAAGUAGCGUUAUGCGCGCGUUUCCACGUCAGCAGACGAUUCCUCGGAGGCCUCACUCACGGAGUCUGUGCAUGUCGCUACCUAGCGACCCUAGUAACCUCUGGUGUGUGAGAAGACAGGGUGAGACGCGACAUCCUCCUCGAACUGCCGAUUCCCUGAGCCCCUGGUGCUGUCCUGUGCAAGACAUGUUUCUCUGGGUAUGAUUCUAAGCUGAGGACUGUUGAUGCGAACCAGCUGCAAGGCAUUUGACUCUCGGGUGCGGUGUUACUGCAAACGAAGGUCAAGCAGCUCGGAUAAAUCGAAGUUACUGAAUUCCCU
rnacentral:lncRNA from 1 species